GUCUAUAGCCAUGCCACCCUGUACAAGCCCGAUCCCGUCUGAUCUCAGAAGCUAAGCAAGAUUGGGCCUGAUUAGUACUUGGAUGGGAGACUGCCUAGGAAGACCACGUGCUGUAAGUG
rnacentral:rRNA from 1 species